GUGUCCAAAAGAUCUUUAUUGCAGUUCCAUGUGUAUUUCUAUGAUAAACAUGUAAAUAAUUUAUCUUUUUUUUCUUAUUUUAGAUGCACUAUUUCCAGGACAUGGAGUAGCAUUUCCGGACCUACAGCAAGACGUUGGAUGAAGGCAUAGCCCCAGAAAUAACACUGCUCAUGUUCAUCAGUGAGGGGCCGGUGCUGGACACUGUGUAGGGACACGGGAAUGCAAAGUCAUGCACAUGACUGUGACUGAUGCACUAUUUCCAGGACAUGGAGUAGCAUUUCGGGACCUACAGCAAGACGUUGGAUGAAGGCACAGGCCUAGGAAUCAUGCACAUACACAGAAACAUUUGCCCAAAUUAUAGAGGUAACCUCCUUUAGUAUGCCCAGAGGAAGGGCAAUACAGUAGCCAUGGAUUCCCUACAGGUUUCCUCCCCUCUGGAGGUUUUUCCUGUCCUGAGUAUUAGUUACUGUACGCUCUUUGUGAGUGAUGGGAGGUUACAAAAAAUCCCCUACACAAACAUUUUAAUAAAUAGUAAAUAAAGUUCCCCUUUUUUUAAACUGUU